rnacentral:rRNA from 1 species
CAGGACGAACGCUGGCGGCGUGCCUAACACAUGCAAGUCGAACGGACUGAUUCCUUCGGGAAUGAAAGUUAGUGGCGGACGGGUGAGUAACGCGUGAGCAACCUGCCUUUCAGAGGGGAAUAACGUUUGGAAACAGACGCUAAUACCGCAUAACGCACAGGAGUCGCAUGGCUUUUGUGCCAAAGGAGCAAUCCGCUGAAAGAUGGGCUCGCGUCCGAUUAGAUAGUUGGUGGGGUAACGGCCUACCAAGUCGACGAUCGGUAGCCGGACUGAGAGGUUGAACGGCCACAUUGGGACUGAGACACGGCCCAGACUCCUACGGGAGGCAGCAGUGGGGGAUAUUGCACAAUGGGCGCAAGCCUGAUGCAGCAACGCCGCGUGAGGGAAGACGGUUUUCGGAUUGUAAACCUCUGUCUUUGGUGACGAAGAAAUGACGGUAGCCGAGGAGGAAGCCACGGCUAACUACGUGCCAGCAGCCGC